rnacentral:rRNA from 1 species
UCGGACGGGUGAGUAACGCGUGGGUAACCUGCCUUGUACUGGGGGACGAACAGUUGGAAACGACUGCUAAUACCGCAUAAGCGCACAGCUUCGCAUGAAGCAGUGUGAAAAACUCCGGUGGUACAAGAUGGACCCGCGUCUGAUUAGCUGGUUGGUGAGGUAACGGCCCACCAAGGCGACGAUCAGUAGCCGGCCUGAGAGGGUGAACGGCCACAUUGGGACUGAGACACGGCCCAA